rnacentral:rRNA from 1 species
GACGAACGCUGGCGGCGUGCCUAAUACAUGCAAGUAGAACGCUGAAGAGAGAAGCUUGCUCUUCUUGGAUGAGUUGCGAACGGGUGAGUAACGCGUAGGUAACCUGCCUUGUAGCGGGGGAUAACUAUUGGAAACGAUAGCUAAUACCGCAUAACAAUGGAUGACACAUGUCAUUUAUUUGAAAGGGGCAAUUGCUCCACUACAAGAUGGACCUGCGUUGUAUUAGCUAGUAGGUGAGGUAAUGGCUCACCUAGGCGACGAUACAUAGCCGACCUGAGAGGGUGAUCGGCCACACUGGGACUGAGACACGGCCCAGACUCCUACGGGAGGCAGCAGUAGGGAAUCUUCGGCAAUGGGGGCAACCCUGACCGAGCAACGCCGCGUGAGUGAAGAAGGUUGUCGGAUCGUAAAGCUCUGUUGUAAGUCAAGAACGGGUGUGAGAGUGGAAAGUUCACACUGUGACGGUAGCUUACCAGAAAGGGACGGCUAACUACGUG